rnacentral:rRNA from 1 species
ACGAACGCUGGCGGCAUGCCUAACACAUGCAAGUCGCACGAGACCUUCGGGUCUAGUGGCGCACGGGUGCGUAACGCGUGGGAACCUGCCCUUAGGUUCGGAAUAACUCCCCGAAAGGGGUGCUAAUACCGGAUAAUGUCUUCGGACCAAAGAUUUAUCGCCUUUGGAUGGGCCCGCGUUGGAUUAGCUAGUUGGUAGGGUAAAAGCCUACCAAGGCGACGAUCCAUAGCUGGUCUGAGAGGAUGAUCAGCCACACUGGGACUGAGACACGGCCCAGACUCCUACGGGAGGCAGCAGUGGGGAAUAUUGGACAAUGGGCGAAAGCCUGAUCCAGCAAUGCCGCGUGAGUGAUGAAGGCCUUAGGGUUGUAAAGCUCUUUUACCCGGGAUGAUAAUGACAGUACCGAGAGAAUAAGCUCCGGCUAACUCCGUG